GUUGUAAACAGAUUUCAGAUUAAAAUGAAAAGUUACCUCAAUUACGUGGAUAAUUGUAAUAUUUCUAAAUUUUAAAAAUUUUGGAAACUCAUCAUCAGUUCCUAAUAAAAAUUAAUUUGACUGGUGAGAAAUUGAUUGUUGCAAUAGUCGUUUACCCAAAAGAUGCCAUGAUCUUAACGAAUACCAUAGUAGUAGAUCAUUCCCAGCAGUGUGGAAUUAUAAAACUCUGAAUGGGGUUGGACCGUAUACGGCGACAACAAGAUGGUUCUGAAAAUUCUUUAAAAAUUAUACCGAUUACGUAAAAGAAUUCGGCAGUUAAAUGGCGAACUCUUUAUAGAAUUGGAAAAUAUUUACGCCCUAACCUCACUGAGUGAGCCACAAAAAUUAUAUAUAAUUUUGCAAGAUUAUGUUAGAUAUGGACUAUAUAAAGUUGAUUUUGAAAGCACGCUCCAUGAAUUAACCAUCGUGAUAAUGCUAUACAAUUUGCUAAAUACUAUAAGGCAACUUGGUGGUGUGCGGAAUGUUUUCAUAGGUUAAGUAUACAUAUCAAUUUAAAUGGUUUUUAAUUGACCGAAAGAACUGUAUGAUCAAAGGUGCUUGGUAUGUAUGGCCUGGUUUGGAUUUUAUGAUUAGAAUUAUUCUCUUAAAUUUGUUCAAAUGUUGAUACAACCACAGAAGUAUGCUACAAAUGUUUAUUAAACAAUGAACAAUAGAAAUAUUUAACUACAAAAACAUAAAAUUUUAAUUUUUUUUUUUAAAUUAACAGAAAAUAAACAAAUAGAUAUAAAAUAUAUUUAACUUACUGAAAAUGGGCACUAUCUCAAAGAAUUCCUUUAAAAUCGUUUUAAUACUUUCAUAAUAUCUGAACAUUUUUUUAAGUAACACUUUUUUCAAUAAUUAAACAGAAUAUAUAUUGAGAUAAACUAAUAUCUCAUAAAUAAUAAUUUACUCUUACUCUUUCGCUUUCAUAAUAAAUUAAUUUCAUUUCCUUUUAUUUCUCAUUUUCUUAAAACAUUUGCACUUGCUGCUUUGUAAUUUUAAUUUUAUUUCCUCUUUGCUACAAAAACAAAACCGACGAUGGAUACAUACACAAAAUAAACGAACGACGCGCUUCAACAAAAAACAACAUUAACAACUGCGCUGCCGGCAGAGGUGCAAAUUAUUAACAGAUUUAAAAACAUGUAUUUCUCAUUAAAUAUUAACUUUUUUGCAAAUAUUUUUUAACAUUAUGAUUUAAUAACUAUUAAUUUAUAUUUAUUUCAUAAAAUUAUAAUUAAUUCAAUACUUUUUAACACUUUUAAACGACUUUAAAAUUAAGACACUAUUAAGACGUGCACGCACCGUAAGAAUUGCAAAAAGAGACUGAAUGAUGGAUGCGAAUGAAUGCAAUAAUAAAAGUGAAGCUGUUACAGGAGCUUUUUUAAGUUAAUAGAGUCGUCGUAUAGUGAAUGAGAGAAAAUUCCAAAUGAGCUUUAGCUUUAUAACUCAAAUGAUU